AUUCUCCCAUCCCAAGCGGUUUUUAUCAAAGAAUUGCUUGGCGGAUGGGGUCUGGAUGGGUGCCUCUGCCUGCGCUACCUAGCACAGGCUCGCCCGAAAUGCAUGAGCGCCUUGAGACACUUUGCAUCCGCCUCUCUGUUUGGGAGGAGGCGGCCAAGCAGUGUUUUUCUCCUGGCAUGGCAUGAUACGUCAUUUGCUAUGUCGCCUAAAGGAGGAAUGUUUGGUUGUGUCUGCGUGUGCUUCGAACUUGCCUCUGUGGCACAUCCCAAUUUCAC
rnacentral:misc_RNA from 1 species